rnacentral:lncRNA from 1 species
UGACAUGCAAACCCAAUGACGAUAACACAUCCGGUCUCAAAAAUACACUAACUCAACUAAUCCAGAUUCAUCACGUCUACUAACUCGACUAAUCCAGAUUCACCACAUCUUCUAACUCGAUUAAUCCAGAUUCAUCACAUCAACUAACUCGGCUAAUCCAGAUUCAUCACAUGUACUAACUCGACCAAUCAAGAUUCAUCAUAUCUACUAACUCGACUAAUCAGAUUCAUCACAUCUACUAACUCGACUAAUCCAGAUUCACCACGCGCAAGGCUCUACGAAAUGGA